rnacentral:rRNA from 1 species
UACGGAGGAUCCAAGCGUUAUCCGGAAUCAUUGGGUUUAAAGGGUCCGUAGGCGGUUUUGUAAGUCAGUGGUGAAAGCCCAUCGCUCAACGGUGGAACGGCCAUUGAUACUGCAAGACUUGAAUUACUAGGAAGUAACUAGAAUAUGUAGUGUAGCGGUGAAAUGCUUAGAGAUUACAUGGAAUACCAAUUGCGAAGGCAGGUUACUACUAGUGGAUUGACGCUGAUGGACGAAAGCGUGGGGAGCGAACAGG